GUCCUGCAUGCGACGUAGAUAAUAACGGGAGAGUCUGCACCGUCAAGUCUACCACCACUUUUUUCUUUUCUUUCUUUCUUUCUUUUUCUAUUUUUUUGCACGAUGAAUAACUGUCUGGUUUGUUCAUCUCGAAAAAAUUGUGGAGAACCAACAGCACCAUAGUAAUGGUCCAGCUGCCUUACACGAGGAACUGCUAACGAUGGCGGACCAACACAGGGAGCAACUGGCAACGCCGGGAGUCAAUCUGAGGUCAAAGCUCUGCAGCCCCGAGACGCGUCGCGGGAUCUGCAAGGGGGCCACUCGUAGCGUCUACUCUGUUUUCUACUGGAGCUGGUCACGUAAAACCACAGAGCCAACGCAGAAAUGUGUCUGGAGACGUCUUAUGGUGCGCUUUAUUCACCAACUGCAGGAAGAGUUGUCUUGAGAUGCGCGCACAAUGGACACGGCGCUGACCCGCUGGACCGAGACAAAAGCCCCUCAUUAUGGGAAGGAGAAGCAAGCCAGUAACCAGGGGGUUGCUGGUUAGAAUUCCAGGGCAGGCUGGGUAAUCCUGGUUUGGCCUGGGUUGGUUACCACAGGAGUGGCUUGUAUGAGGACCGAAGAUGUGCCUGUUAUGCCCUUGGACACGGCACUUCAUUACAACUGCCCCAUGCGCUGCUGCGUCCAGUCUGAGUAACAAGGGCAGCAAAAUGUGUGUUAAUGCAGGCAUCAUCCACCCCUGCUUAAUUGAUGUGUGGGUCAAGGGGGGCUGGAGUCCAUGCCAGCAGGCACUGGACAGAAGGCAAGGAGACACCGUCUGCCAGUCCAUUCAAGGUUUUAAUUAAGCUUUUGGUCACAGACUGGAUGAAG